GGGAGGGAAUCUUCCCAACAGCCAGCGUCCCUGCUCACAGGGAGUGGAUCUUCCCAAAGGCCAGUGUUCCUGCACAGAGCGAGGGGAUCCUCCCCACAGCCAGCGUCCCUGUGGAGAAUGGAAACAAUCAUCCACAACCACCUCCCAUCAUCCCCAUGUUGGCACCACUGUGGAAAUGGGAUGGUGGAGUGUGUACUCCACCUGUGGAUUUCUAUUCCAAGAGAAGAGAUGUCCGGCUUAGAUAUGUUGAGCAUCCUGCUAUGAUGUCCAUCACCAAGCCAGAACACUCCGAGGCCAACCCUCAGUGCCAGACUGGCAGCCGGCCGGUGGCUGAGCCCGAGACCCCUGCUGUUCACAAGAACAGUGGAAGCUGGCUCAGCUGGGUCUUUGGGAGUGGAAAAGUUAAUAAGAAGGAGGUUCAUCUACCUGAGGACAAAGACAGAUCUAUUGUCUGGGAUCCAACUCUGCACAGAUGGGUUGACAAAACUGAGCCCAAGGCUGAGGUAUACACUUAAAUUACAUUCAAUAAAAAGCAGUGAAAGACC